UUGCGGGUUGGAGGAGCGGUACCUCGUCGGGCCCAUAACCCGAAGACCGCGCGUUCGAAUCGCGCACCCGCUAUC
rnacentral:tRNA from 1 species